rnacentral:lncRNA from 1 species
GUAACUGAGUCCUGGAUUCUGUUGCUGAGACUGAAUAGAACAGGCUACAUGGUGUUCACAAAUUUAAACUGAGGACCAGAGAACAGAGGAAGCUUAGCACCAGUCCCUUCUUUUCAGAUUGGAAAGAAAGUUAGAAAAAAAAAAGGGAGUAUAGUGGAAAACAGAGUUGGAUGGAUAGAGGAUUCUGUAAUUCUCCAGUCUUUGGACCAAAUUUUCAAAUGGGAACAGCCUUUGUACCAGAGAUAACCAGCUUGAGUGCCUUCAGGGAUCUUCACUGUCAGAAGUGUUCCAGAUAAAGACUAUUUUACUUGCAGACAGUGUUCCAG